AUGCCAUGAUGAGGACAUUUCUACAAUAGCACCUUGAAUCUCUUUCAUGCAUUACAGAAAGAUUCUUUAUCAAAUUGCUAAAAUAUGGCAAUUUCACUUCUGAGCUU
rfam:Gossypium arboreum cultivar AKA8401 contig_49488_1, whole genome shotgun sequence.